rnacentral:rRNA from 1 species
CACGUAGGGCGCAAGCGUUGUCCGGAAUUAUUGGGCGUAAAGAGCUCGUAGGUGGUUUGUUACGUCUGCUGUGAAAACCUAGGGCUUAACCCUGGGCUUGCAGUGGAUACGGGCAGACUAGAGGUAGGUAGGGGAGAAUGGAAUUCCUGGUGUAGCGGUGAAAUGCGCAGAUAUCAGGAGGAACACCGGUGGCGAAGGCGGUUCUCUGGGACGGUACUGACACUGAGACGCGAAAGCGUGGGGAGCGAACAGG